GACGAACGCUGGCGGCGUGCUUAACACAUGCAAGUCGAACGGUAAGGCUCCAGCUUGCUGGGGUACACGAGUGGCGAACGGGUGAGUAACACGUGGGUGACCUGCCCUGCACUUCGGGAUAAGCCUGGGAAACUGGGUCUAAUACCGGAUAGGACCGCACCGUGAGGGUGUGGUGGAAAGUUUUUUCGGUGUGGGAUGGGCCCGCGGCCUAUCAGCGUGUUGGUGGGGUAAUGGCCUACCAAGGCGGCGACGGGUAGCCGGCCUGAGAGGGUGGACGGCCACAUUGGGACUGAGACACGGCCCAGACUCCUACGGGAGGCAGCAGUGGGGAAUAUUGCACAAUGGGCGGAAGCCUGAUGCAGCGACGCCGCGUGGGGGAUGACGGCCUUCGGGUUGUAAACUCCUUUCACCAUCGACGAAGGGUUUCUGACGGUAGAUGGAGAAGAAGCACCGGCUAACUACGUG
rnacentral:rRNA from 1 species